rnacentral:rRNA from 1 species
UACGUAGGGUGCAAGCGUUGUCCGCAAUUAUUGGGCGUAAAGAGCUCGUAGGCGGUCUGUUGCGUCGGCUGUGAAAACCCGGGGCUCAACCCCGGGCCUGCAGCCGAUACGGGCAGACUAGAGUUCGGCAGGGGAGACUGGAAUUCCUGGUGUAGCGGUGAAAUGCGCAGAUAUCAGGAGGAACACCGGUGGCGAAGGCGGGUCUCUGGGCCGAUACUGACGCUGAGGAGCGAAAGCGUGGGGAGCGAACAGG